GGUGAUGAGUGGCGAACGGGUGAGUAAUACAUAAGUACCUGGCCCAUACAGGGGGAUAACUGCUGGAAACGGCAGCUAAGACCGCAUACAUCGCAUGAAGAAAAGUGCAGGCACUGGUAAGGGAUGGACUUAUGGCGCAUUAGCUAGUUGGCAGGGUAAAGGCCUACCAAGGCGACGAUGCGUAGCCGACCUGAGAGGGUGACCGGCCACACUGGGACUGAGACACGGCCCAGACUCCUACGGGAGGCAGCAGUAGGGAAUUUUCGGCAAUGGGGGAAACCCUGACCGAGCAACGCCGCGUGAAGGAAGAAGUAAUUCGUUAUGUAAACUUCUGUCAUAGAGGAAGAAGGUGGAUAUAGGGAAUGAUAUCCAAGUGACGGUACUCUAUAAGAAAGCCACGGCUAACUACGUGCCAGCAGCCGCGGUAAUACGUAGGUGGCGAGCGUUAUCCGGAAUUAUUGGGCGUAAAGAGGGAGCAGGCGGCACUAAGGGUCUGUGGUGAAAGAUCGAAGCUUACUUCGGUAAGCCAUGGAAACCGUAGAGCUAGAGUGUGUGAGAGGAUCGUGGAAUUCCAUGUGUAGCGGUGAAAUGCGUAGAUAUAUGGAGGAACACCAGUGGCGAAGGCGA
rnacentral:rRNA from 1 species